rfam:Triticum urartu cultivar G1812 contig894032, whole genome shotgun sequence.
AUAACACUCAUACCGGAAAAUACUUGUCAUCAAAAUAAAUAAAUAAAGAUGUGUCUAGAUAUAUAUUAGUUCUAGAUACAUCUUUUUUUAUCUAUUUUGAUGAUAAGUAUUUUCGGACGGAGGGAGUAUAGA